AUCUGUAUUAUAAAUAAAAUAGAAAUAAAAUCUUACAUACGUGAUUUUCCAAAAACACGUUCUAAAUGUUUGAAAUAUCUUGAUGUUGAUAAAAAUACAAUGUAGAUUAUAGGAACAAUGAAACAGCUGUGAUGAAAUGAUAAAAUAUUCAGCAGAAUAUACACAAUAUUUUUUUAUAUUUCGAAUUUACUUGGUCAGUGUCCUAAAAAAGAGAACUAAUAUCUCCAUCUCUUUUUCUUUCCUAUUAGAUUAAUAUUUUCAUUUCACCUAAAUUUUGUAAGUUAGUUUGUAAACAAUACGAAGGACGAGAACACUUAAUAGUUUUGCACAAAUUUUUAGGCUCAAUAGAUUAAUUACACACACUUUAUACACAUUUCCUGAGAUUUGACUAGUAUUUUCACUGUUUUGUAUAUAUAUAUAUAUAUGUAUAUAUAUAUUUUUAAAAAAGAU
rnacentral:lncRNA from 1 species